rnacentral:rRNA from 1 species
CAGCAGCCGCGGUAAUACGUAGGGAGCAAGCGUUGUUCGGAUUUACUGGGCGUAAAGGGCGCGUAGGCGGUCUGACAGGUCACUUGUGAAAUCUCCGAGCUUAACUCGGAACGGCCAAGUGAAACCAAUAGACUAGAGUGCAGAAGGGGCAAUCGGAAUUCUUGGUGUAGCGGUGAAAUGCGUAGAUAUCAAGAGGAACACCUGAGGCGAAGGCGGGUUGCUAGGCUGACACUGACGCUGAGGCGCUUCAGCCAGGGGAGCAAACGGGAUUAGAUACCCCGGUAGUCCUGGCACUAAACGAUGAACACUUGGUGUCUGGAUUCUUAACGAUCUGGGUGCCGUCGCUAACGUUUUAAGUAUUCCGCCUGGGGA